GAUCAAGCGACUAAGUGCAUCUGGUGGAUGCCUUGGCGAUCAUAGGCGAUGAAGGACGUGUAAGCCUGCGAAAAGCGCGGGGGAGCUGGCAAUAGAGCAUUGAUCCCGCGAUGUCCGAAUGGGGAAACCCACCUCUUUUGAGGUAUCCCUGGCUGAAUCCAUAGGCCAGCGGAGGCGAACCCGGCGAACUGAAACAUCUAAGUAGCCGGAGGAAAAGAAAUCAACCGAGAUUCCGCAAGUAGUGGCGAGCGAACGCGGAAGAGCCUGUACGUGAUAGCAGUCGUGUUAGAAGAACGGUCUGGAAAGGCCGGCCAUAGUGGGUGAUAGCCCCGUAUUCGAAAACACAAUUGUGGUACUGAGCGUACGAGAAGUAGGGCGGGACACGUGAAAUCCUGUCUGAAGAUGGGGGGACCAUCCUCCAAGGCUAAAUACUCAUGAUCGACCGAUAGUGAACCAGUACCGUGAGGGAAAGGCGAAAAGAACCCCGGGAGGGGAGUGAAACAGAACCUGAAACCGGAUGCAUACAAACAGUGGGAGCCUGGAAACGGGUGACUGCGUACCUUUUGUAUAAUGGGUCAGCGACUUACAUUCAGUAGCGAGCUUAACCAGAUAGGGGAGGCGUAGCGAAAGCGAGUCCGAACAGGGCGUUGAGUUGCUGGGUGUAGACCCGAAACCGGAUGAUCUAUCCAUGGCCAGGAUGAAGGUGCGGUAACACGCACUGGAGGUCCGAACCCACGUCUGUUGCAAAAGACGGGGAUGAGCUGUGGAUAGGGGUGAAAGGCUAAACAAAUCCGGAAAUAGCUGGUUCUCUCCGAAAACUAUUUAGGUAGUGCCUCGAGAUUACACUGACGGGGGUAGAGCACUGUUAUGGCUAGGGGGUCAUUGCGAUUUACCAACCCAUGGCAAACUCCGAAUACCGUCAAGUGCGUCCUCGGGAGACAGACAGCGGGUGCUAACGUCCGUUGUCAAGAGGGAAACAACCCAGACCGCCAGCUAAGGUCCCAAAUGACAUGCUAAGUGGUAAACGAAGUGGGAAGGCCAAGACAGCCAGGAUGUUGGCUUAGAAGCAGCCAUCAUUCAAAGAAAGCGUAAUAGCUCACUGGUCGAGUCGUCCUGCGCGGAAGAUGUAACGGGGCUCAAGCAUGUAACCGAAGCUGCGGAUGCGUACUUGUACGCAUGGUAGGAGAGCGUUCUGUAGGCCUGCGAAGGUGGUGGUGUAAACCCUGCUGGAGGUAUCAGAAGUGCGAAUGCUGACAUGAGUAGCGAUAAAGCGGGUGAAAGUCCCGCUCGCCGAAAACCCAAGGUUUCCUACGCAACGUUCAUCGGCGUAGGGUGAGUCGGCCCCUAAGGCGAGGCAGAAAUGCGUAGUCGAUGGGAAACGGGUCAAGAUUCCCGUACCGGUUGUGAAUGCGAUGGGGGGACGGAGAAGGGUAGCUCAGCGGCCUGUUGGAAUAGGUCGUUUAAGCGUGUAGGAGUGGUCUCCUGGCAAAUCCGGAGAUCUUAUCUGAGGCGUGAUGACGA
rnacentral:rRNA from 1 species